rnacentral:rRNA from 1 species
UAAUGUAUGGGGAUCUGCCCGAUAGAGGGGAAUAACUACUGGAAACGGUGGCUAAUACCGCAUAAUGUCUACGGACCAAAGCAGGGGCUCUUCGGACCUUGCACUAUCGGAUGAACCCAUAUGGGAUUAGCUAGUAGGUGGGGUAAAGGCUCGCCUAGGCGACGAUCUCUAGCUGGUCUGAGAGGAUGAUCAGCCACACUGGGACUGAGACACGGCCCAG